GACGAACGCUGGCGGCGUGCUUAACACAUGCAAGUCGAACGGAAAGGCCCUGCUUUUGUGGGGUGCUCGAGUGGCGAACGGGUGAGUAACACGUGAGUAACCUGCCCUUGACUUUGGGAUAACUUCAGGAAACUGGGGCUAAUACCGGAUAGGAGCUCCUGCUGCAUGGUGGGGGUUGGAAAGUUUCGGCGGUUGGGGAUGGACUCGCGGCUUAUCAGCUUGUUGGUGGGGUAGUGGCUUACCAAGGCUUUGACGGGUAGCCGGCCUGAGAGGGUGACCGGCGACAUUGGGACUGAGAUACGGACCAGACUCCUACGGGAGGCAGCAGUGGGGAAUAUUGCAGAAUGGGCGGAAGCCUGAUGCAGCAACGCCGCGUGCGGGAUGCCGGCCUUCGGGUUGUAAACCGCUUUCGCCUGUGACGAAGCGUGAGUGACGGUAAUGGGUAAAGAAGCACCGGCUAACUACGUG
rnacentral:rRNA from 1 species